rnacentral:rRNA from 1 species
UACGUAGGGGGCAAGCGUUGUCCGGAUUUACUGGGCGUAAAGAGCGUGUAGGCGGCCACGCAGGUCCGUUGUGAAAACUGGAGGCUCAACCUCCAGCUGUCGACGGGAACCGUAUGGCUAGAGUCCGGAAGAGGAGAGUGGAAUUCCUGGUGUAGCGGUGAAAUGCGCAGAUAUCAGGAGGAACACCGAUGGCGAAGGCAGGUCUCUGGGCCACUACUGACGCUGAGGAGCGAAAGCGUGGGGAGCAAACAGG